GGCUCGGGGGUCCCAGUUC
rnacentral:snRNA from 1 species